AGCCUGAACGCUGGCGGCGUGGCUAAGACAUGCAAGUCGCACGGAUGUAGCAAUACAUCAGUGGCGCACGGGUGAGUAAUUUAUCGCUAAUGUACCCUUAAGCCAGGGAUAGCUGCCCGAAAGGGCAGGUAAUACCUGAUGAAAUAUCCUUUUCGCAUGAUGAGGAUCUCAAAGCAGCAAUGCACUUUUGGAGCAGGCGAUAUCGUAUCAGCUAGUUGGUGAGGUAACGGCUCACCAAGGCGAUGACGCGUAGCUGGUCUGAGAGGACGACCAGCCACAUCGGGACUGAGACACUGCCCGGACUCCUACGGGGGGCUGCAGUAACGAAUCUUCCGCAAUG
rnacentral:rRNA from 1 species